UCAUCAUAUACCGUGAACAAAUUAAACCUUCGCUUAUAGAAACUAAUGUCAAUUUUCCUUAAAAAUCGAUACUGUUGCUGAUGCGCAAUUCCUGUAAAUCCCGAAUUUUAUUAUAAGGAAAAGAAAUAAUGUUUCAUUAGAAUAUUAACAUAAUUCGUUGUCAAUAAAUCCUCAGAAACAAACAAAAAUGUCUGAUUUCAUUGGCAAGAUUAUGGAUAUUUAUUAGGUGUCGAACAUGUGAAAACAUCGAUAAUGUGAACAACAGUUGUUUUCCUCGUUUCCCACUAACGAGUACCUACUAUACCUAAAUAUUAAUGUAAAUUGGUCACAAAUUCGCCAAAGACAUACUUGAAGAAAAUCAAGCGUCAAGUUAAAGCUUGUCUAUUUCCUUAAUGCGUGUUUAACCAUAGCCAUUGUCCAUUGACAAAAUUUACAGUGGCUACCUAAAUAAUUGUUUUUGAUUAACAAAUUAAAAAGAAGAAUUCCGAGGAGGGGCCAGAAAUGAAGCGGGAGGAAUCUCUUCAGGCCUAUUUUUUGAGAAUGCCCAAAAACUGGGAGAUUUGGAAAGUUUUCUAAUUUUUUAUCAAUCAAAAGUCCCGGGACCGAAUUUCCCCUCGACGAUCUUGGCGUUAAUAUGGGUCGUAGUUGGACCAUGUACCUAAUUAGGUCAGGCUAAUGAUUUCCAGGCCAGGCUCAUCCUACCCUGUUGUAGUAGUUCUGGCUAUGGCUCUGGUGUGUCCAUUUAUAACGUUUUCAAUUUACCUGACUUCUAACUAACAAUAAAUAAAUUAGCAUGCUUAAUAAGCAGAAAUACAUAUUACCUAUGAUACUGGAUCUUAAUUACUAAAUAUGAUAAGCGAGUAAAAGGUGGUUACCAAUAAGAGAUAACUAUUAAUCUCAAUUCGUACCGCGGCAUAAGCAGUUUCUAAUUUUGGAAAUUGAGGGUGUUAGCUGGUCCGCACCUGUACAAAGAUAUAAAGCUUUAACGCCCAAACGCUGUGCAUUGCUUCAUCGAUUGGACCAACCCUGACCUCGACCUACACAUCUCGGCAAGCAAGGCAAGUUUGGUUAAAUCGGUUUUUCUUCCUUUUUCCGAUUCGCUCUAUCUCUCGUUCCCUCUCUCACUCUCUUCCCCUCGCAUCCCUUUUAGUAAUAAAAAGAAAAAAGAAGGGCAGAUGUCGGGAUUAUUAAUUGUAGCUCGUUCAUCCCUAAAAAAAUAUAUCCACGUAUUCGAAUUAUUUUUAGGCCACGAACAUUAAGGAUGUUUGGGAGGUAUUUCAAAAUGCUACGAGAGAAAUAAAAAUUUGGAAGAACGUUCCUCUUUCAAUUCGAAAACUCCUGUGAAAAAUUACAAAUCGAUUCACUAAACCAUUAAAAAGUUAUUGAAAUUUUAAGAAAUUGUAA